rnacentral:rRNA from 1 species
UACGGGGGGGGCAAGCGUUGUUCGGAGUUACUGGGCGUAAAGGGUGUGUAGGCGGUUGUUUAAGUUUGGUGUGAAAUCUCCCGGCUCAACUGGGAGGGUGCGCCGAAUACUGAAUGACUAGAGUACGGGAGAGGAAAGUGGAAUUCCUGGUGUAGCGGUGAAAUGCGUAGAUAUCAGGAGGAACACCGGUGGUGUAGACGGCUUUCUGGACCGUAACUGACGCUGAAACACGAAAGCGUGGGUAGCAAACAGG